rnacentral:rRNA from 1 species
CCCUUAGAUGUUCUGGGCAGCACGCGCGCUACACUGAACAGUUCAACAAGUCUUAACCUUGGCCGAUAGGUCUGGGUAAUCUUUGAACGCUGUUCGUGAUUGGGAUAGACCUUUGCAAUUAUGGGUCUUCAACGAGGAAUUCCUAGUAAACGCAAGUCAUCAGCUUGCAUUGAUUACGUCCCUGCCCUUUGUACACACCGCCCGUCGCACCUACCGAUUGAAUGGUCCGGUGAAAUCUCGGGACGGCGGCUUGGUCGCUUGCGUCCGACUGCUGAAACUUGAUUAAACCAUAUCAUUUAGAGGAAGGUGAAGUCGUAACA